rnacentral:rRNA from 1 species
UACGUAGGGUGCGAGCGUUGUCCGGAAUUAUUGGGCGUAAAGGGCUCGUAGGCGGUUUGUCGCGUCGGGAGUGAAAACCUUGGGCUUAACUCAGGGCUUGCUUUCGAUACGGGCAGACUAGAGGUAUGCAGGGGAGAACGGAAUUCCUGGUGUAGCGGUGAAAUGCGCAGAUAUCAGGAGGAACACCAAUAGCGAAGGCAGCUCGCUGGGACGUUACUGACACUGAGGCGCGAAAGCGUGGGGAGCGAACAGG